UACGUAGGGGGCAAGCGUUAUCCGGAUUUACUGGGUGUAAAGGGAGCGUAGACGGAAUUGCAAGUCUGAUGUGAAAAUCCGGGGCCCAACCCCGGAACUGCAUUGGAAACUGUAUUUCUAGAGUGUCGGAGAGGCAAGUGGAAUUCCUGGUGUAGCGGUGAAAUGCGUAGAUAUAAGGAAGAACACCAGUGGCGAAGGCGGAUGACUGGACGGCAACUGACGGUGAGGCGCGAAAGCGUGGGGAGCAAACAGG
rnacentral:rRNA from 1 species